rnacentral:tRNA from 1 species
GUGUUGGUGGUAUAGGGGUGAGCAUAGCUGCUUCCAAGCAGUUGACCCAGGUUUGAUUCCCAGUCAACACA